rnacentral:SRP_RNA from 1 species
ACCCGGUCAGGUCCGGAAGGAAGCAGCCGUAACGAGUUUCGGCCCGGGUCGACGUUCAGCCUCCCACUU